rnacentral:tRNA from 1 species
GCGCCGUUAGUUCAAUGGUUAGAGCAACUGCCUCAUAAGCAGUAAGUUAUAGGUUCAAGUCCUAUACGGCGCA